rnacentral:tRNA from 1 species
GCCUCGGUAGCUCAGCGGUAGAGCGCUCGCCUCGUAAGCGAGAGGUCGGGGGUUCAAUCCCCCUCCGGGGCU